rnacentral:rRNA from 1 species
UACGGAGGGUGCAAGCGUUGCUCGGAAUCAUUGGGCGUAAAGCGUACGCAGGCUGUUUGUUAAGUCGGGUGUGAAAGCCCGGGGCUCAACCCCGGAACGGCGCCCGAAACUGGCAGGCUUGAAUGCGGGAGAGGGAAGCGGAAUUCCUGGUGUAGAGGUGAAAUUCGUAGAUAUCAGGAGGAACACCGGUGGCGAAAGCGGCUUCCUGGCCCGACAUUGACGCUCAUGUACGAAAGCGUGGGGAGCAAACAGG